rnacentral:misc_RNA from 1 species
GAAUAUAUAGGACGAUAGUCUUUGUUGUUUUGUCAAUGAUAGGCCUUGGAGGAGAGCUUUUAGUUCUGCUGCAAGUGUGCAUUACUUGUUUCUCAGUCAGUCAGCUUUGCCAUUGGUUUUUUUGUUUCCUUUUUUCAAAGAAAGGGAUAAAAGGGGACCCAAGUAGUCCAAUGAAGCAUAAUUAAUAUGAUUAAGAAAUUAUACUUAUCUUCCAAAUGUAAACUUAUUUUCUGUAGAAUGUGUGACGAUGAAUCCUAAUGAGAGUUCAUAUGGCUGAAUCCUUUUACAUUUGAGAAUUGAAAGUUAUCUGUGGCGCCUGUUUCAGGACUUGUUUG